rnacentral:rRNA from 1 species
AAAGCGUGCGCAGGCGGUUUUGUAAGUCUGUCGUGAAAGCCCCGGGCUUAACCUGGGAAUUGCGAUGGAGACUGCAAGGCUUGAAUCUGGCAGAGGGGGGUAGAAUUCCACGUGUAGCAGUGAAAUGCGUAGAGAUGUGGAGGAACACCAAUGGCGAAGGCAGCCCCCUGGGUCAAGAUUGACGCUCAUGCACGAAAGCGUGGGGAGCAAACAGGAUUAGAUACCCCAGU